GGACCCUCCGGGGGGCAGCAGUGAGGAAUAUUGGUCAAUGGGCGGGAGCCUUCCCCCGCCAAGCCGCGUGACGGAAGAAGGCGCCAAGCGUCGUAAACUUCUUUUGUCGGGGAACAAAGGGCGCCACGUGUGGCGUUGUGAGUGUACCCGAAGAAAAAGCAUCGGCUAACUCCGUGCCAGCAGCCGCGGUAAUACGGAGGAUGCGAGCGUUAUCCGGAUUUAUUGGGUUUAAAGGGUGCGUAGGCGGUCCGGAAAGUCAGCGGUAAAAGCCCGGGGUUCAACCCCGGCGAGCCGUUGAAACUGUG
rnacentral:rRNA from 1 species